UACGUAGGGAGCAAGCGUUGUCCGGAAUUACUGGGCGUAAAGGGCUCGUAGGUGGUUGAGUAAGUCAGAUGUGAAAUCUCAGGGCCCAACCCUGAGCCUGCAUUUGAUACUGCUCUGACUAGAGUCCGGUAGGGGAGUGCGGAACUCCUGGUGUAGCGGUGAAAUGCGCAGAUAUCAGGAAGAACACCGACAGCGAAGGCAGCACUCUGGGCCGGUACUGACACUGAGGAGCGAAAGCAUGGGUAGCAAACAGG
rnacentral:rRNA from 1 species